rnacentral:rRNA from 1 species
UUCGGGGGGACAGGGUGACAGGUGGUGCAUGGUUGUCGUCAGCUCGUGUCGUGAGAUGUUGGGUUAAGUCCCGCAACGAGCGCAACCCUCGCCUCUAGUUGCCAGCAUUCGGUUGGGCACUCUAGAGGGACUGCCGGCGACAAGUCGGAGGAAGGUGGGGAUGACGUCAAAUCAUCAUGCCCCUUAUGACCUGGGCUACACACGUGCUACAAUGGGCGGUACAAAGGGCUGCGAACCCGCGAGGGGGAGCGAAUCCCAAAAAGCCGCUCUCAGUUCGGAUUGCAGGCUGCAACUCGCCUGCAUGAAGCCGGAAUCGCUAGUAAUCGCGGAUCAGCAUGCCGCGGUGAAUACGUUCCCGGGCCUU